rnacentral:miRNA from 1 species
AUACAUGUAUGUAUGCAUGUAUGUAUGCAUGUAUGUAUGUAUGCAUGCAUGCA